GCGGCAGCUUAACACAUGCAAGUCGAGCGGAUUUCACAUCUUCGGAUGUGGGGUUAGCGGCGGACGGGUGAGUAACACGUGGAAACAUGCCCUUUACUGUGGGAUAGUCACUGGAAACGGUGGAUAAUACCACAUACGCCCUACGGGGGAAAGAUUUAUCGGUAAAGGAUUGGUCCGCGUUGGAUUAGGUUGUUGGUGGGGUAAUGGCCUACCAAGCCGACGAUCCAUAGCUGGUCUGGGAGGACGAUCAGCCACACUGGGACUGAGAUACGGCCCAGACUCCUACGGGAGGCAGCAGUGAGGAAUAUUAGACAAUGGGGGAAACCCUGAUCUAGCCAUGCCGCGUGAUUGAUGAAGGCCUUAGGGUUGUAAAAAUCUUUCGCUAGGGAUGAUAAUGACAGUACCUAGUANAGAAGCCCCGGCUAACUCCGUGCCAGCAGCCGCGGUAAUACGGAGGGGGCUAGCGUUGUUCGGAAUUACUGGGCGUAAAGCGCGCGUAGGCUGAUUACUCAGUCAGGGGUGAAAUCCCGGAGCUCAACUCCGGAACUGCCCUUGAUACUGGNUAUCUAGAGG
rnacentral:rRNA from 1 species